rnacentral:rRNA from 1 species
UUUAUGGAGAGUUUGAUCCUGGCUCAGGAUGAACGCUGGCGGCGUGCCUAAUACAUGCAAGUCGAGCGAACGGACGAGAAGCUUGCUUCUCUGAUGUUAGCGGCGGACGGGUGAGUAACACGUGGAUAACCUACCUAUAAGACUGGGAUAACUUCGGGAAACCGGAGCUAAUACCGGAUAAUAUUUUGAACCGCAUGGUUCAAAAGUAAAAGACGGUCUUGCUGUCACUUAUAGAUGGAUCCGCGCUGCAUUAGCUAGUUGGUAAGGUAACGGCUUACCAAGGCAACGAUGCAUAGCCGACCUGAGAGGGUGAUCGGCCACACUGGAACUGAGACACGGUCCAGACUCCUACGGGAGGCAGCAGUAGGGAAUCUUCCGCAAUGGGCGAAAGCCUGACGGAGCAACGCCGCGUGAGUGAUGAAGGUCUUCGGAUCGUAAAACUCUGUUAUUAGGGAAGAACAUAUGUGUAAGUAACUGUGCACAUCUUGACGGUACCUAAUCAGAAAGCCACGGCUAACUACGUGCCAGCAGCCGCGGUAAUACGUAGGUGGCAAGCGUUAUCCGGAAUUAUUGGGCGUAAAGCGCGCGUAGGCGGUUUUUUAAGUCUGAUGUGAAAGCCCACGGCUCAACCGUGGAGGGUCAUUGGAAACUGGAAAACUUGAGUGCAGAAGAGGAAAGUGGAAUUCCAUGUGUAGCGGUGAAAUGCGCAGAGAUAUGGAGGAACACCAGUGGCGAAGGCGACU